rnacentral:rRNA from 1 species
CCUACGGGUGGCAGCAGUAGGGAAUAUUGCUCAAUGGGGGAAACCCUGAAGCAGCAACGCCGCGUGGAGGAUGAAGGUUUUCGGAUUGUAAACUCCUUUUGUUAGAGAAGAUAAUGAAGGUAUCUAACGAAUAAGCACCGGCUAACUCCGAGCCAGCAGCCGCGGUAAUACGGGGGUAGCGAGCGUUAUCCGGAUUUAUUGGGUUAAAUGGGUGUGGAGGCGGAGGUGAAAGUCAGCGGUCAACUUGCGGGGCUCAACCCCGUACUGCCGUUGAAACUGCAUACCUUGAGUGCGCGAGAGGUAUGCGGAAUGCGUGGUGUAGCGGUGAAAUGCAUAGAUAUCACGCAGAACUCCGAUUGCGAAGGCAGCAUACCGGCGCGCAACUGACGCUGAUGCACGAAAGCGUGGGUAUCGAACAGGAUUAGAUACCCCAGUAGUC